GUGAGGAAUAUUGGUCAAUGGACGAGAGUCUGAACCAGCCAAGUCGCGUGAAGGAAGACGGUUCUAUGAAUUGUAAACUUCUUUUGUGCAGGAAUAAAGUGGGUUACGUGUAACCUUUUGUAUGUACUGUACGAAUAAGGAUCGGCUAACUCCGUGCCAGCAGCCGCGGUAAUACGGAGGAUCCGAGCGUUAUCCGGAUUUAUUGGGGUUAAAGGGUGCGUAGGUGGAUUGAUAAGUCAGCGGUGAAAGUUUGCAGCUUAACUGUAAAAUUGCCGUUGAAACUGUCGGUCUUGAGUGCAAAUGAGGUAGGCGGAAUGUGUUGUGUAGCGGUGAAAUGCUUAGAUAUAACACAGAACUCCGAUUGCGAAGGCAGCUUACUGGGAUGCAACUGACACUGAUGCACGAAAGCGUGGGUAUCAAACAGGAUUAGAAACCCUGGUAGUCC
rnacentral:rRNA from 1 species